UCUUUCUAUUGCCUUCCCAGUUUGCAUGCUUUGUUGAAACGCAACACCAUUGGAGAGAUCCAUGGGGCAAGGAACUGAGGUGCUCAGUCGAAUUGCUCUCAAGGCACUGAAUGCUGACAACAACACUGAGUGAGUUUGGAAGCAGAUCCUUUCCCAGUUGAGCCUUCAGAGGACAUUCAGCCCCGGCUGAUGUUUGAUUGCUGCCUUAUUAGAGAUUGUGAAGCAGACCACCCAGAUUCCUGACCCACAGAAAUUGCAAGAUAAUAAAUGUCUAUGGGGGCCGGCCCUGUGGCCGAGAGUGCUCUGCUUCAGUGGCCCAGGUUCACCGGUUCGGAUCCUGGAUGCGGACCGACACAUGGCUCAUCAAGCCGUGCUGUGGUGGCGUCCCACAUAGAAGAACUAGAAUGACCUACAACUAGGAUAUACAACCAUAUAGUGGGGCUUUGGGGAGAAACAAAAAUGUCUAUAUUUUAAAGCCCCUAUGUUUAGGCAUAACUUGUUACACUUCCACAGAUAACUAAUACAAGUAACUCACAAUUCAACAGGGAAACUAAGAAAGGUAAAUGAAUAACCUACCGCAAGGUAGGAUGUUAUGAGGACCAGCAGAGUUUUAGGGAAGGAUUUUUGGGGAUUCUUGGGAUGAAAGGCCCCUUUAACUAAGGGUGUUGAACUUUCAUUUAUUCAGAAACUAUUUAUUAGACUUUUUCUGUGUGCUAGGCACUGUGCUGGGCUCAGGGGCUAAAAUGGUGAAGAUGACAAAGUUCUUUUUCUCUUGAUGUUUAUACCCUCCAGGAACAGACAGAAAAUGAAGAGCAAAUAAACAAAUGAACAAGAUAAGGUAGUAGAAGGGAAAGUGAUAAUGAGGGAUCAGGAAAGCUAGGAGAUUUCCUCGUUUCUGGUGGUCAAAGAGGACAGCUCGCUGAGGAGCCCCCUUUCCCCAGAGGAAGAAGCUGUCAGACACAUUUCCUUCCUGCCCCUGGCCUGGCCCAGCACGAACCCCCAGAGUUCCAGGAAACAGCCCGAAGCACCCCAGCGCAUAUGCUGAGCACUGCCAAGGACAGGAGAUCCUCACGGUUCCAACCUCUGUGCCAUCCCCACCUCUCCACACCAACCUCAGAAAGGCUGGCUUCCUCUUAACCCACCGACGGGCAACAACGGAGAUAAAAGCUUCGUCGUGCAUUUAUGCAUUUGCUCAACUACUCCACGGAUGUUUACCAAGUCCUGUCGCAUGCUGUCCGCUCUUCUUGAAUGUUUAUACCCUGUAUGUUGGAAGUUCCUUUGUAAAAUGACUGAAAUAUCUGCCUUCAAGCAAUCGAUGAACUUCACGUAACUUCACAUGUCGCUCCUGCUGAUCACUUUCAAUUAUUGUGUCUUCGCCGUGUACCUUUACAUAUGUCGUUUCACUUAGUUCUCCGACAACCCCUCCCUGUAGACAUAACUCUCAGCACUGUGAAAUGAGUGAUCCUAAGGUCAGUCAGUGUUGAAUAACUUGCCCAAAGACACAUUUCUAGCAAGUUUGUGUCAGAGCUGUGAUUGGACUCUUUUUUCAAAGUCUUCUAUUUUCAUCCACUAGGUCAUGUAUUAUUAACAUGUUUAUUUGCUUUAGAAAUAGUAACAGCUGACAGAUAUUGAGUGUGUAUUCUAGAGUAGGUGUUGUGCCGGACAAUUUCCAUACAUUAGCUUACGGUGAGCCUGUAAGGCAGAAAUCAUGAUUAUGCCCGUUUUAUAGAUGAGAAAAACUGAGGUUCAGAGGGAUUCAGUCAUUCGCCCAAG
rnacentral:lncRNA from 1 species